AUUGAACGCUGGCAGCAUGCUUUACACAUGCAAGUCGAACGGUAACAGGGAGCUUGCUCCGCUGACGAGUGGCGAACGGGUGAGUAAUAUAUCGGAACGUACCCAGAAGUGGGGGAUAACGUAGCGAAAGUUACGCUAAUACCGCAUACGAUCCACGGAUGAAAGUAGGGGACCUUCGUGCCUUAUGCUUUUGGAGCGGCCGAUAUCUGAUUAGCUAGUUGGUGAGGGAAAGGCUCACAAAGGUGCCGAACAGUAGAUGGUCUGAGAGGACGACCAGCCACACUGGAACUGAGACACGGUCCAGACUCCUACGGGAGGCAGCAGUGGGGAAUUUUGGACAAUGGGCGCAAGCCUGAUCCAGCAAUGCCGCGUGAGUGAAGAAGGCCUUCGGGUUGUAAAGCUCUUUUGUCAGGGAAGAAACGGCUGUGGCUAAUAUCCACGGCUAAUGACGGUACCUGAAGAAUAAGCACCGGCUAACUACGUGCCAGCAGCCGCCGUAA
rnacentral:rRNA from 1 species